GACGAACGCUGGCGGCGUGCCUAAUACAUGCAAGUCGAGCGAAGCGACGGGUGGGUAAGUAAUGCGUGGGUAACCUGCCCUUAAGUCUGGGAUACCAUUUGGAAACAGAUACUAAUACCGGAUACUAAAGGAUGCACGUGCGAUGCAUUAGCUGGUGGGUAAGGUAACGGCUUACCACGGCGAUGAUGCAUAGCCGGGUUGAGAGAGGGAUCGGCCACAUUGGGACUGAGACACGGCCCAAACUCCUACGGGAGGCAGCAGUAGGGAAUCUUCGACAAUGGACGAAAGUCUGAUGGAGCAACGCCGCGUGAGUGAAGAAGGUUUUCGGAUCGUAAAGCUCUGUUGUUGGUGAAGCGGUAAUCAACCAGAAAGUCACGGCUAACUACGUGCCAGCAGCCGCGGUAAUUC
rnacentral:rRNA from 1 species